rnacentral:lncRNA from 1 species
AUCUCUUUCUGUGGUUAGUGCUCUGAUGUCCCGAUAUAGAUAAUCUUGAAGUAAUUCUUGAUUCUUAGAUCAACUAGAGAACUCUCAGGAAACUUCCUCUCUUCCCUCCAAAAAUAAUUAUAUAGUUAUCCUUGGGCAAUCUUGGGUCUUAAUUAGUACACUCACGUUCCCUGUGGAAAAUCGAUACUCUGGAAUACUCCCGGGUGAAGGCUACAUCGGUAUCCGUGCGCUUGCGGAUUUUUCUGUUUGCGUUUAAAAUACCCAACAAGCUUUCUGGCGCCGUUGCCGGGGAACGGUAGCUGUGCUAGUUUCGAACCAAGUCGUCCGUGUAUCCUUUUUCUUUUCCUUUUUUUUUACCACACUCACCUUAUCAUUUUCACCAUACCACAUGGAUUUCACUCUAAGCAUUAAUGAGCAUGGAAUUUAUUUCAUAGCCACUUCAUUUACUCCAUGCUCAUAUGCAACAUCUUCACAAUCCAUUGGUCUCUCCAACAUCACCACAUUCGAGAUCUCCAACCCCCACUUCCUUUCUAUUUAUAAAAACUUUAAAAGGGCGGUUGUCGAUGCAUAUGUCUAUAAUAAAUUUUGCAGAUCUCGUUGAGUUGAUCUUGAUAUAGGUCAGCGUUGGAGGGGAAACCACUUCGCUGACAUAAAUUAAUGGUUUCCCAAGGACAAGCUUAGUGUCCUAAAACAAGCACUGAUCAGAUCAUAACAUGAGCUUUUAAUUAUUUGCAACAUUACCUUGUGUGUUGAGCAUAUUAGGAUAAUUGUAAAAAUAUUCCUUCGGGUAUUCUUGUCACUUACCUUUCCAGGAUUGGAGCA